rnacentral:lncRNA from 10 species
UUUUUUUUUUUACUUUUUAAGCUUUCUUAAAACCUAAGACACAAACACACACAUUAGCCUAAGCCUACACAGGGUCAGGAUCAUGAAGAUGUCACCAGGUGAUAGGAAUUUCUCAGCCCCACUGUAGUCUCAGGGGAUUGUACGUGAGAGCGGUGUUGAUGGAAACCUUGUUAUACAGCGCAUGACCGUAUUUCUCUUCUCCCGUUAAAGGCUAAGAAAGCCUCUGACUGAACAGAAUAGCUUGGAAAUCAACUUCAAAUCACUGAUACCAAUAUCAAUCCCAAUAUUUUAUAAUCCUUCUUCCCCCUACAUUUUGCUUCUCUUUAUUCAAAUUCAGGUUCAAUCUAAACCAAUCUGGGGAUAUUUCCAAAGGGUAAGGGCCAUAAGCUCCAUCUUUGCUUGGGUUUUGUUGAGCUUUAUUGGCUUGGACCACGUACUCUGUAGGUGCCGUGUCUGCUACAUGCAUCACUGUAGCUUGUGGAGGGAGGGAGGAUGGAAGAGAUGCUCAUGCGAGAAAUCACCUCUUUUGAAAUUCAGAGUCCUUCCUAGUCUUCCCAGGAAAAACUACAGCAUCAAAAGAACCUCAUUAUCCUUUUCUCUCUUUUCGUGUGGGACAACCCUUUCAGGCGUGUCCAAGUUAUUGAAGUGAAAACUGCAGGAGAGCUCCUUGAGAAAGGUGAUCAUUUCCUAUUUAUCCUCAUACUUCCAGCAUCUCGUUCAAUGCAAAUCACAGAUCACAAAUGUUUAUUAAAUGGACAGUUUUUUAAGGGACUCAAUAAACAGUCGAAAACGUUUGUUGAGAGAAUUCUCCUCUGUGCCAAAUAAGAAACAAUACUCAAGAACUGGCAGCAAACAACAUCCAGAAAGAUGUUAGUCCCAAGAGGCUGCCACUGUCUCCAAGCUAAUGUGCCCACAACCACACUGGUCUUGGAUGACACGGCCUGGAAGCGCUGGCAAUCCCGUCAAAUCCCUGAACUCCGCCCCCAAGCACUUUCUUUCCACCUUUUCUUCCAACUCAAAGCCUCUUGCCCAAAGCCAAUUUAUGACACAGGUUUCUAAGCAAUGCCCAGAUAUUCCAUGAAGUACAUAACCUAGAAACAGAAGUGGCAAAAAGCAUGCCAGAUGCCCUCUCUUUUCAGCCCUUUCUUGGUAAGGAGGAUCUAGGCAGGGUCAAGCCCUCAAGCGUCCCACCCUGCAGCUCCCACUGGCGUCCGAUCCAGACUCCAAGCCUUAGCAGGGCCUCUUCAAAACGCCGAAGGUGGUGGGGAAAACAGGAAGCACCUUCGCAUCGCUCCACUCGGGGGUCACCCAACCCAGCAUCGACCCAGCGGACGCUCGGCAGCUCGGGGAGGAUGCGCGGACACCGAACGGAAGCGUCCGCUCCUCUCCGCCACCCUCCCGGGGUCGGGCGCCGAAGUGCGGGAAGAGAGG